rnacentral:tRNA from 1 species
UCCCUAGUGAUCUAGUGGUAAAGAAUCUGCCUGCCAAUGCAGGAGAUACAGGUUUGAUUCCUGAUCUGGGGGA